CCCAUCACUGGAGGUACACCUCGAUUCAUGCCUCCGAUUUCAACUUUGCCCUUAUCUUGCAUCUCAUUCUUGAAGAAACUGAAGAAGCUGAUGGCCGCCCAAACGGGAACGAGGGACGACAAGAUCCGCAUCCAGAAGUGGUACAACAUCUACAAGGACCAUAUCACUCUCAAGGACUACGAGAUUCACGACGGCAUCGGCCUCGAGCUCUACUACAAUUGAUCCAUCAUCUCAAUCUAGAAGAUCAAAUAUGGUGUGGUGAGCAUGCAAGAUUUAGCUUGGGAUGUGUUGACUUGGGAAAAGUUUUACCUGAGUGGCCGCUUGCAAAAACCUGUACUUUGAGUGAAUCAAGAGAGGGACAGUGUGAGAGAGCAGUGGAGAGUGUGAGAGGGAGAUGGCUGAAUCCGCUGUUUCACAGGUGGUAACCAGGCUUGCCGGGCUCUUGUCUCAAGAAUUCUGGUUGUUGUAUGGAUUGCGUGAUGAGGUGGAGUGGAUGGAAAGAGAG